UACGGGGGGAGCAAGCGUUGUUCGGAUUUACUGGGCGUAAAGGGCGCGUAGGCGGCGUGACAAGUCACUUGUGAAAUCUCCGGGCUUAACCCGGAGCGGUCAAGUGAUACUGUCGUGCUAGAGUGCGGAAGGGGCUACUGGAAUUCUCGGUGUAGCGGUGAAAUGCGUAGAUAUCGAGAGGAACACCAGUGGCGAAGGCGACUACCUGGACAGAUACUGACACUGAGGCGCGAGAGCGUGGGUAGCAAACAGG
rnacentral:rRNA from 1 species